AUACGUAGGGAGCGAGCGUUGUCCGGAAUUACUGGGUGUAAAGGGUGCGUAGGCGGGACUGCAAGUCAGAUGUGAAAUGCCGGGGCUCAACCCCGGAGCUGCAUUUGAAACUGUGGUUCUUGAGUGCAGGAGAGGUAAGUGGAAUUCCCAGUGUAGCGGUGAAAUGCGUAGAGAUUGGGAGGAACACCAGUGGCGAAGGCGACUUACUGGACUGUAACUGACGCUGAGGCGCGAAAGUGUGGGGAGCAAACAGGAUUAGAUACCCUGGUAGUCCACACUGUAAACGAUGAAUGCUAGGUGUAGGGGGUAUCGACCCCUUCUGUGCCGCAGUCAACACAAUAAGCAUUCCGCCUGGGGAGUACGGCCGCAAGAAUGAAACUCAAAUGAAUUGACGGGG
rnacentral:rRNA from 1 species